rnacentral:rRNA from 1 species
UUGACCUGGCUCAGGACGAACGCUGGCGGCGGGCUUACACAUGCAAGUUGCAGGAGAAGCGAUCCUUCGGGGAUUGUGGAGACUGGCGCACGGGUGAGUAACGCGUAGACAACCUGCCUAUAGCUGGGGGAUAACAUCGGGAAACCGGUGCUAAUACCGCAUAAUGCAGCGGGGCCGCAUGGCCACAGUUGUUAAAUCCCGACUUUGUCGGGAGGUUAUAGAUGGGUCUGCGUGCCAUUAGCUGGUUGGUAGGGUAACGGCUUACCAAGGCGAUGAUGGCUAGGGGGUCUGAGAGGAUGAUCCCCCACACUGGGACUGAGACACGGCCCAGACUCCUACGGGAGGCAGCAGUGAGGAAUCUUGCGCAAUGGGGGCAACCCUGACGCAGCCACGCCGCGUGCCGGAAGACGGCCCUACGGGUUGUAAACGGCUUUUGUUUGGGAAGAAUGUACGGGUUUCGAUCUGUAUUGACGGUACCAAUUGAAUAAGCACCGGCUAACUCCGUGCCAGCAGCCGCGGUAAUACGGAGGGUGCAAGCGUUGUCCGGAAUCAUUGGGUGUAAAGGGUGCGCAGGCGGGCGCCUAAGUCGGGGGUGAAAUCUUGCCGCUUAACGGUAAAAUGGCCCCCGAUACUGGGUGUCUUGAAUCUGACAGAGGUCGGUGGAAUUUGUGGUGUAGCGGUGAAAUGCAUAGAGAUCACAAAGAACACCAGUGGCGAAGGCGGCCGGCUGGGUCAGUAUUGACGCUGAGGCACGAGAGCGUGGGGAGCGAACAGGAUUAGAUACCCUGGUAGUCCACGCUGUAAACGAUGUAUGCUAGUUGUUGGGCCUUUGGGUUCAGUGACGCAGUUAACGCAGUAAGCAUACCACCUGGGGAGUACGUUCGCAAGAAUGAAGCUCAAAGGAAUUGACGGGGGCCCGCACAAGCGGUGGAAGCAUUGUGGCUUACUUCGAUGCAACGCGA